AAGGGCUGUUAUUGUGAAGUGGGAAUGUCUAGGAGCAACAACGGCUCAGCCAUGACGUGGUAGGCCACAGAACGGGUCCGCAGAGUGCCAUGGGUUCUAACUAGAACAGUUAACUCUACAGUCUGUAUUCUAACUAGAACAUAGAGUAGUUAACAACUGUUCUAGUUAGAAUCCAGACUGUAGAGUUAACACAUUGCCUAUACUAACUCUUAACACAGAGUGUUCCUGCCUGACUAGAUGGUCAGGUGUUAGUUAGUGUAGUGAUGUUCCUGUCUGACUAGAUGGUCAGGUGUUAGUUAGUGUAGUGAUGUUCCUGCCUGACUAGAUGGUCAGGUGUUAGUUAGUGUAGUGAUGUUCCUGCCUGACUAGAUGGUCAGGUGUUAGUUAGUUAGUUAGUG
rnacentral:lncRNA from 1 species